GCUGAUGAUGGGUUUGGGCCCGAAAGUACUUUGAAUGAAAAGGUUUUUGGUUCGGCUUUGAAGCUUGUUUUUUGUGUUUUUCUUUCGUUUCCCAAACCUGGUCUGUUUACUACUUUGCAGAAAAUUGUCAGAAUCUUAAAAAACAAAUUUAAUCUAAAGGCACUCUACAAAAACAAAAGAUGACAUAUUUCCUCUUAUGCAAUGAUAAAGACAAACUUCAAUUUAACCAAUCAGCCAGGAUCUAUAUAGUAUUGGCAACUAAUACUGAUGUGAGCAUGGAAUUUUAUGUAAGAAAUACUUCCAGAAGUUUGAAAUGCUAUUUAAAGGAAUAUAUGAAUGAUAUCAGAAUGAUAUACGAUAUAAUGGAGAUCUCACCAUGUCAUUAUUAAAAAGAUUUUAUAAAAUGAACCCGAAUGUGAAAUCAAGUGUUACUUGAUUUUACAUUCGGGUGUUCACAUACUGUUAAUAAUAACUAUUGGAUGUUACCAAGAUGUAAAAUUAACAGAAGUGCUCAAGUUGUUUAAAAGAAAUAAAGAUUCCCAAAUUAUUAACAGUAACCUACUGGAAGUAGUUCCUACAGCAUAGUUAUGGGUGCUGCAGGAGAAUAAAUAAUGUGUUGUUAACUAUUGAUAUUUGUUUUUUAUUUAAGUCUAUUAUUUCUAUUACUAUUUUAUUUUAUAACAUAAUUCUCUGUAAUUUUAUAAUGCUUUUAUAUUUCAAUUAUUGCUAGAAUGUGUGAUUUUUUUUCAAACAUGUAUUGUGUUUAGAAUGUAAUUUGAAUGAUUUGUAACUGCUGCUGAUAGCUUUCUAAAGCUAAAACAUUUCAGUUUCUUUGUAAUUUGUCUUAAAUUAUUUUUUUGUCUAAGAUGUGC
rnacentral:lncRNA from 1 species